rnacentral:sRNA from 1 species
GUUGGAGCUGGUUGCACUCGCUGCUCCUCCUCCUCCAUAUCUGUCCGUGGUGUUGCUUGGAAUGUUUGAUUGUGAAUCAAGUGCCUCUUUCUGAUACGAGUUACUUUCUUGUUCUCCUAUCUUGCACACUCUGGCUCCACAAAUUUCUACAAAGCUUCUGGCAACACCUGCCAGAACAAAUAUAUGUUCCUCAGAGAAACGCUGCUUGGAAUCAAAGAAGGUCAGUACUCAUCAACGAACAUACACAACCAAAAAUCUUUUAUUCCUUUGGACAUUUAAUUUUAAACUGCU